UGCAAGUCGAACGAAACUUUCUUACACCGAAUGCUUGCAUUCACCGUAAGAAGUUGAGUGGCGGACGGGUGAGUAACACGUGGGUAACCUGCCUAAAAGAAGGGGAUAACACUUGGAAACAGGUGCUAAUACCGUAUAUCUCUAAGGAUCGCAUGAUCCUUAGAUGAAAGAUGGUUCUGCUAUCGCUUUUAGAUGGACCCGCGGCGUAUUAACUAGUUGGUGGGGUAACGGCCUACCAAGGUGAUGAUACGUAGCCGAACUGAGAGGUUGAUCGGCCACAUUGGGACUGAGACACGGCCCAAACUCCUACGGGAGGCAGCAGUAGGGAAUCUUCCACAAUGGACGCAAGUCUGAUGGAGCAACGCCGCGUGAGUGAAGAAGGUCUUCGGAUCGUAAAACUCUGUUGUUAGAGAAGAACACGAGUGAGAGUAACUGUUCAUUCGAUGACGGUAUCUAACCAGCAAGUCACGGCUAACUACGUGCCAGCAGCCGCGGUAAUACGUAGGUGGCAAGCGUUGUCCGGAUUUAUUGGGCGUAAAGGGAACGCAGGCGGUCUUUUAAGUCUGAUGUGAAAGCCUUCGGCUUAACCGGAGUAGUGCAUUGGAAACUGGAAGACUUGAGUGCAGAAGAGGAGAGUGGAACUCCAUGUGUAGCGGUGAAAUGCGUAGAUAUAUGGAAGAACACCAGUGGCGAAAGCGGCUCUCUGGUCUGUAACUGACGCUGAGGUUCGAAAGCGUGGGUAGCAAACAGGAUUAGAUACCCUGGUAGUCCACGCCGUAAACGAUGAAUGCUAGGUGUUGGAGGGUUUCCGCCCUUCAGUGCCGCAGCUAACGCAAUAAGCAUUCCGCCUGGGGAGUACGACCGCAAGGUUGAAACUCAAAGGAAUUGACGGGGGCCCGCACAAGCGGUGGAGCAUGUGGUUUAAUUCGAAGCAACGCGAAGAACCUUACCAGGUCUUGACAUCCUUUGACCACCUAA
rnacentral:rRNA from 1 species